UGAACUAGUCCGUCGUUUUCACAAGAUAAACAUUCUUAGUUUAAUCAUGGCCUAACCAGUCACCAAAAUUGACCAACACACUAUAUAAAAUUGUCUUUCUCGUCACGUCUUCUUGCUGAUGCUUAAAGACUGCAAAUUUAAUUCUGUCAAAAACAACACACUAUUGUAUAGACAAUUUAACAGCAGAGUCAAAUUACAAGGGCAAGAAAUGGAAACAAUAUCUCGCUGUAAACAAAUAAGAUACUGCUUUACUUGUAGUAAAGCAACAUGAUUUUUCUCACCAUUCUUCUAAAACAUAGGCAUCCUGGUCUAAAGAAACUCUAGGUUAAAAAUAAGCUUUUAUCAAGGUCCUAGAUGCUAUAUCAAAUGCAUGUGAUAUCAUGCACAUGAAUAUGCCAAAAGCAUUUUGAGCAACAUGUUCUAAUUUUAGAAACUUCAAUAAUCAAUCAAAUUGCACCUUAUACGCCACGGUGCACUAAGCUCCCGCUAUGUAUAGGGUCCGAGGAAGGGUCAGAUCACAAGGGUCUUAUUAUACGUAGCCUUACCCUGUAUUUUUGUAAGAGUCUGUUUCCACGGCUUGAACCCGUGACCUCCUGGUAACGUGCCAACAACUUUACCUUAUAUGGAAAAAGCAUAUCCAAGCAAGGGAUUAAUUGUUAUUGGCAUUCAGGUGCACAUAAGGUAAAAAUGCAAUACCAAAAAUCAUGGUGCUGCAAUGGCAGAGAAGAAUAAAUGGGACUCCAAAAGCAUUAGUCUUCAAAGUGAUGGAGUAGAAAGGGAAAUAGUACAGAUUCCAUUCAAGAGUAGGACCAUUACUAUGUUCAUCAAAACAAUCUUGAAACACCUCUGUUGUUAGCCACUUUUGACCAUCAACGUUCAUGGGAGUGACAAGGUCUCCAUUAACAGUCACUAGCUGCAUGAUAUAUAUAGGUAAAGGGUCCCAAUAUUAGGCACCAUAGGCCACCAUUACAUGUAAAAGUCUUAUUAAGUUUAUAUGUAGUCCAAUCGCGAAAAAUGAGAAGCUGGACCAAAUAUCUCUAGUUAAAAGAUGCAAAAGACCUUCCAAAGGUGACAAAGAAGAUUCCUCAUUGCCUAUUUUCAUGAUACCUACUCUGACUCACAUGUCUGAGAAGUUUAAGUCAGGGGAACACAUUGGUUGUCCAUUCGCUAUCAGCAAGAGCGCAUUACAGUCAAUUUGAUUGUGACUUUGACAUUCUCAUAGGCAUCUCAGACUGUAGGGAUACAGAUAUUAUUCUUUCAGCAAACACAAGCAGUUUAUAACAAAGCAGUCACAAAAUAUGGUUACACAUAAAGCUAUCUUAGUUGAACAUCCUGAUGUAUUUUUCUGCAUAUGGAAAAUCAUGUGAGACCGCAAAAAUAUGAAAGACAAUCUCACUAACUUUCAAAUCUUGACAUCCUGUAUCAACCAUACAAAAACAAGCAGGCAGCUUUAAAGAUACCAGAAAGGUCAGUCUAAGGUUCGAAAGUUUUUCUAUUGCUACUCAUAUGAAAACUACUGAACUUUUAAAUAUCCAUAACCACAUUGAGUUCGUUACUUUUUUUUUUCUCCUGACCGAGAAAUCCAUGAGGGCUGAUGGCACAAGGUUCGAAACUUGGUGGAUAACAAGAGCUCGGAAGUCUUUCUAUUGCUACUCAAAUGAAAAUUACUGAACGUUUAAAUAUCCAAAACCACAUUGAGUUCGUUAUUUUUUUUUCUCCUGACCGAGAAAUCCACGAGGGCUAAUGGUACAAGGUUCGAAACUCUGUGGAUAACAAGCGUUCCCUCUACCCUUCUGAACUUAAAUAUUAGGAUUUUGUAGGGUUCAAACCUGUGACAUGCGCCUAACUCACACAUCAUGCAUUGCACUCUCACCACUAGACCAAAGCCCUGGGCCACUGAGCUCUUACCACUGAGUUCGUUACUACUAGUCCAAUUUUAAAGAAACAAUAGCCACACAAACUUGUCUGACUAAUCAUUCAGAAUAUCUAUUUCCUACAAGCAUCAUAUUUCAUACGGAACUAGUUGGACAAAUUAACCAUAUAAACCUAACAAGAAUGCUUAAACUCUUUUUUUUUUCUUUUUUUUCUGUGGGCAAAAUGGACUCAAGCUUAGGAACUGAAAUGAAAGCCACACUAUCUUGGGAAUCUGCAUGUUGAACAUAUUCAAGAAAAGGACUACCACUACAUAAUUACUUUUAGAGCACCAGGCUCCAUUUCAAACUGGAAUGCUAAUCAAAUAUUCAAACCAAGCCUGGGCUAUACAUAGACGUAGAAAAAUGAAUACCCCAGCUUGCACCUUUAUGGGACAAUAAGGGAAUUUAACCACUCACAACAUUAGGCAGCCACAUAGUGAGCACAAAGUUAACUAGUCUUUCGCCUUUUACUAAAGAAUACCGUGUGCUUAAGUUACGCGGAUUCUUCGAUUUUGGUGCCGUCCCGGUCCCGAUACGAGAUGCGGACGGGGAGGAGAUACGAUACGUCCCGAAUUCGGUCAACUGACUUUGGACACUUUGAUCGGAGUCCAUCGACAAAUUUCGGAUAAACAUUGAGGUUUUGAUUUCUCAAAACAAAAAAUAAAACAGAUUUAGGAGAAUGAAAGAAUAAUGUCUAUCUUGGAGAAUGAAAGAUUGAAUUCUAUAAUAUUCAUGUAAGUUUUUUCACAGAAUAUCACUCAAAAUUUAUAAUAUUUUUAUAGCUCUAUUUUUUAUUAGUCGAAUCCCCAUGCACCCGUAUCCAUAUCCGAAUAUGCACCCCCGAAUCUUAAAAUUUAGAUUUCGCCGAAUCCGAUACUCGGAUCUGUCCCCAUAUUGGAUACUCGCACCCGAGUAUGAACAACUUAGCCAUGUGCUCAUUUCAUUCAAUGGCAUAUGCCUAGUUUUGGAGGGGCUCUCUUCUAAAUAAGGAAGAAGAGAACAAAGCACUCACGACAUUUUUUUAAUAUGAGAGGUCAUAUAUAGAAGGGCAGCAAUGGGUGGUUGAAACCGAUAUCGACAGCUGAAUGCAAAAAAUCCGAAGGAGGUUACCUAACUUACACAAAAACUUGUCUCCCUUAGUUAGCAGUAACACCACUGCCUUGGCACACACAAAACCUAGACCUGAAAUCUCACACAUUUCGCUCAAUUCAACUCCGUUAUUUUAUGUUUGGUUUUCCCCUGUCCAACUUGUUCCCUCCGUUGCUUACCCACUUCCUGCUUUGCUCAAUUAUAAUCAUAAUCAUAAUAAUAAUAAGGCAGCAUUUCCCUGACCCUGUGACUGCACGGAUCGGAUCGGAUUCAGCACAUUUCGGAUUUUAGAAAAUGCAAUCUGAAUCCGAUCCGAAGUAUAUCGGAUCGGAUCGGAUAUAGGACCGUACUAUUACGCCUCAAAGUUGCAAACUAAUAUGUAUAUUUCUUUGUAAAACGGGCAAUACAUUAAAGAAAUUUCAUGUUUAUGCAAUUAUGAGAGUACUAUGGUAAUAGCUUUGAGGAAGAUGUAAAGGAAGUACUGACUAUCCGAAAUUAAAGUGUAGCAUUUAUACAUAUCCUAAUAAUUUUGGAUUUCGGAUUGGAUCGGAUUAAAAUAUACCAAUCCGAAUCUGAAAUUUUAAUAAACACAAUCUGAAAUCCGAUCCAAUCCGAAAUUUGAAAUUGAAUGGAUCGGUUCGAAUUUCGGAUAUCCAAUCCGAAUGAACAGCCCUAAUCUUGUCCCCAUGAUAUUCCUAAAAUCUUCCAAAACUCCCUCAGCUUAAUAAACUCACUCACAACAUUACCAAGAUUAAACACCAUCACCUAGCUUAACGCACAAAAACACUCCUUCCAUUUACUGUCCCUCUCUGCCACCACCAAACAAGAAAAAAGAGGAAACACGAAAGAAGGCAUAGUAACAGCACCAAAUCAUGAAUUAAUCCAUCCGUAGAUUGAUCGAAAGGUGCAGGCUUCCUGCCGAUAUUUGUCAUACUUAAUUAUGCAACAUUAAAUCUCAGUAGUAUAAAACUCAAUUUGUUACAUGAAUGUCAUGCAAAUGAGAUAAAAUUCAUACAGUAUACAAAUACCAUUUUUUUUCUUUUGCAACAAGUACCACAAAAAGUAAUCCCUGAAAAACAAAACAACCUUAGAAGGGUAAAUCAUAAAUUGGUGACCCAUUGUUACGGACAAAUGCUGAUGUUACAUGGUAGAACUCACAGGUAUUCGAGAUCUCUCGAGCCACGAAGUGAUAGAUACAGGAAAACUAGUUUUUCCAGCAAAAUGCACACAAAACAAUAUCGAAUUUGAGUCCAAACACUAGAUACCGCUUUUCUAGAUUAUCUUUUAACUGGUCUGUCAUUGUAAUAGUAGAAUUAAUAAACUAAAUGGAGGAUGAAAGUACUGGAAAAUAUUUUUUCAUUAGUGACUGAGAAAUCCGUCUAGGGACAAACCUUAGGAUCACUGGCAGCCUUCAAAACCUGGGGAUAACGGGCAGGCCCUUUACCCUUCUCCAUUUAAAUAUCAAGCUUAGUUCGCAUGGCGUAGGGAUUGAGCCUAUGCCCUAACAAGUCCCUCAACCUUUUCCACUUGACUAAGCCCUGGGAGCUGAAAGUACGAAAGAAUGAUUAACAUUUGAAAGGAGAUUGAAUGCAACUUACUCGGACUUCCUGUACACAAAAAGUGCUAACAGAGCAAUUUAUUCCAAGUACCUAAUAUACAGUUACAGUGCUAGACAGAUGAAAACCAUGAUCGUUA
rnacentral:lncRNA from 1 species